AGUGAACGCUGGCGGUAGGCCUAACACAUGCAAGUCGAACGGCAGCACAGUAAGAGCUUGCUCUUACGGGUGGCGAGUGGCGGACGGGUGAGGAAUACAUCGGAAUCUACUUUUUCGUGGGGGAUAACGUAGGGAAACUUACGCUAAUACCGCAUACGACCUACGGGUGAAAGCAGUGGAUCUUCGGACCUUGCGCGAUUGAAUGAGCCGAUGUCGGAUUAGCUAGUUGGCGGGGUAAAGGCCCACCAAGGCGACGAUCCGUAGCUGGUCUGAGAGGAUGAUCAGCCACACUGGAACUGAGACACGGUCCAGACUACUACGGGAGGCAGCAGUGGGGAAUAUUGGACAAUGGGCGCAAGCCUGAUCCAGCCAUACCGCGUGGGUGAAGAAGGCCUUCGGGUUGUAAAGCCCUUUUGUUGGGAAAGAAAAGCAGCAGGUUAAUACCACGCUGUUCUGACGGUACCCAAAGAAGAAGCACCGGCUAACUUCGUG
rnacentral:rRNA from 1 species